rnacentral:rRNA from 1 species
AGAGUUUGAUCCUGGCUCAGGAUGAACGCUAGCGGCAGGCCUAAUACAUGCAAGUCGAACGGGUCUGGGUAGCAAUACCCAGAUUAGUGGCGCACGGGUGCGUAACGCGUAUGCAACCUACCUUUUAUUGGGGGAUAGCCCGAAGAAAUUCGGAUUAAUACCGCAUACCAUCCCCUGCAGGCAUCUGCGGGGGAUGAAAGCUAAGGCGAUAAAAGAUGGGCAUGCGUGUCAUUAGCUAGUUGGUGAGGUAAGGGCUCACCAAGGCGACGAUGACUAGGGGUUCUGAGAGGAUGAUCCCCCACACUGGUACUGAGAUACGGACCAGACUCCUACGGGAGGCAGCAGUAGGGAAUAUUGGGCAAUGGCCGCAAGGCUGACCCAGCCAUGCCGCGUGAAGGAUGAAGGCCUUCUGGGUUGUAAACUUCUUUUAUCUAGGAAGAAAAUACUCUUGCGAGAGGAACUGACGGUACUAGAGGAAUAAGCACCGGCUAACUCCGUGCCAGCAGCCGCGGUAAUACGGAGGGUGCCAGCGUUGUCCGGAUUUAUUGGGUUUAAAGGGUGCGUAGGCGGCUUGGUAAGUCCGUGGUGAAAGCCAACAGCUCAACUGUUGAACUGCCAUGGAUACUGCCAGGCUUGAGUACAGACGAGGUAGGCGGAAUGGAUCGUGUAGCGGUGAAAUGCAUAGAUACGAUCCAGAACACCGAUUGCGAAGGCAGCUUACUAGACUGUUACUGACGCUGAGGCACGAAAGCGUGGGGAGCGAACAGGAUUAGAUACCCUAGUAGUCC